AAUGACCUCACAUGUUGUUGCACAAAUUCCACCAACAAUCCAGUUUUUAGCACAACCCUGCCAUUUAGAGGUAUUAAACGUCAUUACCUUUAAAUCUGAAUCAUGUUACUAAAUCCUGUUACUUUUGCAACACUGAAAUGAAAUAACCUAAAACGUUUAGUCCAGUGUUGGAGUAGUUGGAGUUUUCUUUAGAGUGUACAGCAAAUAUACCUUCAGGAAAUGGUGGUAGGGAUAUAGUAUGUGGUGAUAUUAGAGAAAGAUUUUGCAAAUGCAUGUACUGACUUUUUGUAUAAUAUAACUACAUUUACAGAUAUGUCCUCCUUUGCCAUCAAAACUGAUUCAUCAGUGAGGCAACACUAUUGUGCCAUUGCUGCUGCUGCCACUUUUGCACUAACCCUUGUCAUUUUGGCUUUCCUCAUCUGCAGGACAAACAGGUAUUUCACACAUAUUGCAUUAAUGUCAUUUUGGCUUUCCUCAUCUACACGACAAACAGAUAUUUAACACAUAUUGCAUUAAUGCCAUAUGCACAAAACACUAAAACACUAUUUUCUAUUUUCUAGCAGUGCAAAAUAUGCUCCUACAAGAGCCUCAUCUGAUGAACAAAACCAGCCUUGUUCAGCAGAAUUAGCCUAAGGAGGCAACUGAACUUGACCUAGAAACAACAACACAUGGCGUGGAGUCAUGACAACACAUUAUCCUAUAACGUAACACGUAUUAUAUUAUAUUAUAUUAUAUUAUAUUAUAUUACAGUAGAUUUUUAUAUUAUAUUAUAUUUCUAGUUAGAGAAACACCACUCUUAGAGUGAGAGAAAACACAGGCACUAAGUAUCACAAACAGUAAAAUAUCAGAAUUUUACUAAAUAUAAAAAUGUUAUAUAUAUUUACUAAAUAUAAAAAUAUGAUAAAUACAUUAAAUAUAAAUAUAUUAUAUAUUUAUUAUAUUAUGAAGGCUAAUAUAUAAAGUUUAUAACUUUGUAUUUCCUCCCAGAAUUUACAA
rnacentral:lncRNA from 1 species